UGAGGAAUAUUGGUCAAUGGGCGAGAGCCUGAACCAGCCAAGUAGCGUGCAGGAUGACGGCCCUAUGGGUUGUAAACUGCUUUUAUAUGGGAAUAAAGUGAGGGACGUGUCCCUUAUUGCAUGUACCAUAUGAAUAAGGACCGGCUAAUUCCGUGCCAGCAGCCACGGUAAUACGGAAGGUCCAGGCGUUAUCCGGAUUUAUUGGGUUUAAAGGGAGCGUAGGCUGUUUGUUAAGCGUGUUGUGAAAUGUAAGAGCUCAACUUUUAGAUUGCAGCGCGAACUGGCAGACUUGAGUGCGCACAACGUAGGCGGAAUUCAUGGUGUAGCGGUGAAAUGCUUAGAUAUCAUGACGAACUCCGAUUGCGAAGGCAGCUUACGGGAGCGCAACUGACGCUAAAGCUCGAAGGUGCGGGUAUCGAACAGG
rnacentral:rRNA from 1 species